rnacentral:rRNA from 1 species
UACGAAGGGGGCUAGCGUUGCUCGGAAUUACUGGGCGUAAAGGGCGCGUAGGCGGGUCGUUUAGUUAGAGGUGAAAGCCCAGGGCUCAACCCUGGAAUUGCCUUUAAUACUGGCGGCCUAGAGUGUGACAGAGGUGUGUGGAACUCCGAGUGUAGAGGUGAAAUUCGUAGAUAUUCGGAAGAACACCAGUGGCGAAGGCGACACACUGGGUCACUACUGACGCUGAGGCGCGAAAGCGUGGGGAGCAAACAGG